ACACUCCUGCGGGAGGCAGCAGUGGGGAAUAUUGGACAAUGGGCGCAAGCCUGAUCCAGCCAUGCCGCGUGAGUGAUGAAGGCCCUAGGGUUGUAAAGCUCUUUCACCGGAGAAGAUAAUGACGGUAUCCGGAGAAGAAGCCCCGGCUAACUUCGUGCCAGCAGCCGCGGUAAUACGAAGGGGGCUAGCGUUGUUCGGAAUUACUGGGCGUAAAGCGCACGUAGGCGGAUCGAUCAGUCAGGGGUGAAAUCCCAGGGCUCAACCCUGGAACUGCCUUUGAUACUGUCGAUCUGGAGUAUGGAAGAGGUGAGUGGAAUUCCGAGUGUAGAGGUGAAAUUCGUAGAUAUUCGGAGGAACACCAGUGGCGAAGGCGGCUCACUGGUCCAUUACUGACGCUGGGGUGCGAAAGCGUGGGGAGCAAACAGGAUUAGAAACCCCAGUAGUCC
rnacentral:rRNA from 1 species